rnacentral:tRNA from 1 species
GAGGUUGUGGCUCAGUGUUAGAGCACUUGCCUACCACGUGUGAGGACCUGGGUUUGAUCCUCAGCACCCCA